CUCCCUUUCAUCUUGCCACUGCCGCUCUCCACAUCGUCAUCCUCCUCCGGGAGGGCCCCUUUGUGCCUCUUCUUCAUGCCCUCGCCAGUCUCAGAGUCUUCAGAGAGCAACAAGGACUUGCUUAGUUCAGAGUCCCUGCGCCGCUGCAGCUUCACCAGCUCCCGCUGCUUCUCCUUGUAGCGCCGCUGCAGCUCCGCCAGCCUCAUCC
rnacentral:lncRNA from 1 species